ensembl:lncRNA
GGAGUGUCCUUGAGUAGGUUAGUAGUGUUCAGUAUGGUGGAGAGAGAGGAGUGUCCUUGAGUAGGUUAGUAGUGUUCAGUAUGGUGGAGAGAGGAGUGUCCUUGAGGAGGUUAGUAGUGUUCAGUAUGGUGGAGAGAGGAGUGUCCUUGAGGAGGUUAGUAGUGUUCAGUAUGGUGGAGAGAGGAGUGUCCUUGAGUAGGUUAGUAGUGCUCAGUAUGGUGGAGAGAGGAGUGUCCUUGAGUAGGUUAGUAGUGUUCAGUAUGGUGGAGAGAGGAGUGUCCUUGAGGAGGUUAGUAGUGUUCAGUAUGGUGGAGAGAGAGGAGUGUCCUUGAGGAGGUUAGUAGUGUUCAG